AUGUCCCAGUCUGGGAAACUCCUUCAUUUGUAUGUGGAAGUGAGGUCUGCCACGGAUCAAAGUGGCGGGAAGGAGGGGAUCGCUCAGGGGCGUUCGGUCCAGGGCGGCCCGGCAGAGCUCCUGUCUCAGCUUGCAAGCCACACCGCCGUUGCCAAGUCAUCCGCGGCUCACCGACUGGCUCAGGAACGCAAACGGUCUCCUUCUAGAGGCGGCGUCCAGCUGCAGCCGGCCGGCGGCGGCGGCCCCUCCUCGUCCCCCAAGCACGGCAGCGACUGGCCAUCCGUUGUCCAAUCGCCACCGAUGAUGUCCUCGUCCGGGAAAGUCAGUGCCCCUCACACGCCGCUGAACUGCCGUGGGUUCAGCGGGGGCAAAGUCGGCGACGGCACGCGGUCCGUUGUCACCUUCGGUUACAUUGAGAAGUCCAACGUGAGAACGAUGGACAGUCCGCGCAGCUCUCUGUGCGAGCGGGGGACCCGAGAGGAAAGAUCCACGCCAUCCCACUACCGUAAAAGGUUCAGCGACCCGGUUUGGUGUGGGAGCCCCGACUCAUCGUGCAGCUCCAGUCCCAAGCUGACCUUCAGACCUCCUGGCGUUCGCCAACCUGCCUUGGACCCCAUUGGCAGAGCAGCUACCCAGAGGGCCGUUGAGGAGUUUGGCUCCCCUCUGCUGCGGAUCAAACUAGCGCACGCCCUCGAGCAAUCGGCGUCCUCACGCUACAACCAGCAGCCCUGGUCCGGGUCGCCCGUUCAGCGCCAGAGCAUCAGCGCUAACCUCAUAGACCACCUCCCGGACCGGAGCCAGGCCACUUGCGGACUUCCCCGGAGCCCGGCGUCAGACCAGCUGUCCUCCCAGUCCGUCGACUCCCAUAGCCCCCUGGCAGGAAGUCCAGCUGUCAAACGACACGUCCACAGGUCCAGCACUUCACCACAAGCAGCACUCCCCCAACUUGGCAAUAAUGUAGUGGAGGGCUUGAACCAGUUAAGUGACAGUAAAUCCUCCUCUCCUGCUCACAGCCCCGAUGUCGCCGGCAGGCAAGCGGAGGAGGCCACCAAAGUAUCCUCCAUUCUUACAGGGGAAAGAGGGUCCUUGUUGCACAACGCUUUAGGGGAUCCCACCGAAGAAUUUCAUAACUCAGCUCCCAACGCACAACAGUCCAAGCCGACACUUAAGAUGAACAUCCCUUUAAACGACCUACACACGGCAGCAACGGACAACGCCACUACAACGACCAACUCGCACCAGCCUGAAAACUCCACAUUGACGUUGCACAAAACAAACUCCCGCGCCAACUAUGAAAUGCGGCGGGAGGACUGUGUUUGGAGGUCCCAGCGCCCGAGCCCGACGGGUUCCCCCGCCAUUCCUUCACGCGUUUUCCGGGCCUCCCAUCCUCCCACCGAGCUCAGCUCUCCCAUGAGGGACCCCAGGCUACUCCAGGCCGAGCUCCGGGCACCGGACACCCCAACACUGCACCGCCGGCGGCUCCCGUGGUGCGCCAGGGACUCCUGGUCCCUAGGCCUGGACAAGAGAGAGCACCUGAGCGGCUUCGAACGCGGGGACUGCACUGAGCUUGCUCGCAGACUCUUCAUCAACCAGGGAGUUGAGGUGGCGCCGGUCAGCUGGACUUCCAGGCAGCAGUGGGGGAGCCAGCUGGAGAGCAGCCCGAGGCCGAGUCACGAGGCCGGGUUUGUGUCCGGCGGUGACCAAACUCCCGACCGCCAACCCGAGGCCUACCGCAGGCCGCUCAGUCCCACCGCCCAGCAGAAACGGGCGGAGCAGAGGAGGAGGGAGAUCCUGCUCCUGGGGCCGGUGGCACUGGACUCUCCGGAGGAAGACGAGGGCUGCGAGGAGGAAGGCCAGGGGGACGAGACUGAGGGAUACGAAGGGGAACGACAAAGGGUGGAGGAGCCGGCAGAGGCGGAGCAGAAUGUAGCAAUGGGAGGGUCGUCCUCGCGGAGCUCCAGCGGGGUGACGGGCAGCUUGGGGGACAGGGAAUGUGGUUCGCCCGGGUCCAGUCAGUCCAGUCACCAGAGCAACGAGACCGGCGCCGCCACCUCAGGAAUACAGACGGACAGUGGCUGUGCAGGGCCGGUUCCCUCGCUCCAUUGUCAGAGGAUCGCUCGUGCCAAGUGGGAGUUUUUGUUCGGGACCCAAGCGGAGGAGGCCACUACCAGGGGGGAGAAAAAUGCCCUGGAGACCUCCACCGCGCCCCCCAGCGGUAACUCCAGCGAGUCUCCCACCCCGACUCCCCCGUCCUCCCUACCCCUGCUCUCCGGCAACCACGAGGUGCAGGACGUGGAGGUCGAGCUGGUGACCCCUCCUCCCGCCUUUGUUGGCGCUUCGCCCAAAACCGGCAUCAUCCGGCGCACGCUGAAGUACUCGGAGACCGACCUGGACGCCGUCCCGCUGCGCUGCUACCGGGAGACGGACAUCGACGAGGUGCUGCUGGCCGAGCUGGACGACGGAGACUCGGCCUUCGGGAGCAACCGCAGCGUUCAGGGGACCUCGGGGACGGGCAGCAGCCCGCUGGGGGGUCCGGCCUACGGGAGGGAGGACGGGGCGCAUCAGGAGGAGAGAAGACUGUGUGGAGGGGUGGGGGGCGAGGAGGAUGAGGAGGAGGAAGAGGAGGAGGAAGAGGAAGAAAUGGUGAGCUGGGCCAGUGUGAGGAUGCAAGGAGACAAUAGGAAGCAGCAGUUUGCAGCUCAGGAGGAGCCAGAGGUGUUUGGACACAUGCUGAAGAGGUGAAACGACACACAACCUGUAUCUUUAUCUGAAUUUAGACCCCAAUCAUAACCUUCAUUUCUUAGGUAGGUUUGGUGGCAUCAUGCACUAUUCAGCACUCCGGUCUUUACUAUAAAGGAAUUAUAGUUAAGAGUCCUUUAGGCUAGAUCUCCGCUUCUGAGUGAAGGCAAAGCUUCUAGGAUGUAAAAUUUCAUUAAAAUGUGUCACAGUAUAUAUCAUGAAAAAAUGGUAUAUAAUAGUACAGAAUGUCAGAAAGGUCUGUGUUUAUUAAAAUCAACUUUCACGAUUUCACUUCUGGACUUUAAAAAGUCCUUAUUGGGAAUGUUGGAAGAAACGCAGCCAAACAUGCUCAGGUUUAAACAGAAUAUGAACUAUUUACUAUUUGUGACUGAGGUGUCUUGCUCAGGUACUGCCCGGGCUCGAACCGCCAACCUUGCGGUUCCCGGUGUUAUUUGCAUUUUUAGUUAGUUUAUUUUAUUUUUGAGAACAUCAAAGCCCCCUGUGAUCUUUGGUGGACCCCGUUGGGCUCCAGCGGGUCGGAAUGUUUCUUUGCACAUUUUAUAUUUUUUUUUGCAAACAUAUCUGCGUCGCUUUCGUGUUUUUUAAGCCCCUCCCCCUCCAUCCCUGUCCAGAACAAUGGAAACGUUUUUCGACAACCACCACCCGGCCCUGAAAUCCCCGCUGCUGGUCUCCGGGCCCCGCUGCGCUGCUGAGGACACCUUCAGCCGCCACUUCGAGAGCAUCAUGGAGUCUCACCGCGCCAAAGGCACGUCCUACAACAGCCUGGACAGCGAGGAGCUGCUGACCUCCAGCGCCCAAACCGUCCUGACCUUUGACCUGCCCACGCUAACCCCGGCCAUCCACGGGCCAGUCUGCCACAGCGCCAGGCAGAUCGUGCAGCUCAGCUUCGCCCCGCUUGCCCACGACGAGAGGCCCAGCAUCUCAGACUCUAUCUUUACCGUGACGGGGGACUCGGACGCCACCCGGGCGCCGUCCAGCGAGAGGCUGAGCAGCGGCUCGGAGGACACGCCGCCCAGAGGGCGAGGGUGCUCGCAGCUGGGGAGCAGCUGGUACAGCAACCCGUCCUUCUCAUUACUGAGGUAGGUGAGCAGCACGUCGAGAAGUCACCAGCAAUUCUACUGUGGAAGUUAUAGUAUCUGUUUUAUUUGGGCCACUUGGGGGUGAUGGAAUCAAACUAUCAACCCAACGUUGACAUGCUUUAUGUGUUAGAUCUGUAUUCUCGCGUGUGUCCACCAGGAGGCGACUCCUCUGGUCCUGACCGGAUUCUGUCCCAAUUACAUGUGCUUGUCCCUCUUGACACAUUUCCCAAGCGUCACCCAAACGACUACUAAUUAUUGAGUCUUUCUAAAUCCUAUAAUAUAAUAAUAUAUAAUAUCAUAUCACACAUGUUACAGAUGACGUUUUAUAUGAGUUAUAUCACAUUGUUAUAUUUUGAAUAGUGGUAGAACAUGAGCCGUAUUCUCUGUUGGACCUGCCGCAAGUUCAAACAUCUGGUGGAAAGACCCGGCUGUUAGAGAGGCAGUUUUAAGUGAGAGGUGUUCAACAAUCACACAAGUUCAGGGGCUCUUUCGUUAAAUGUUUCACAGCGCUGACGGCUGACACACGUUCGGACGGUUCUCCAGUGAUUUGCUGAGGAACCGAGUGAUGGGGAAUCUGGGUCACGUUUGUUGUUGGAUUUCCUUCUGAUUUCUUUUCAUCUCCACUCUGCACUAAAACGGGGCAAGAGCUGCCUUUUCAUAUGAAACAUUUGUAUACAAGGAGACGGAGCUGGAGGCGGAGGAGGGAUCAUCGUCAAUUGGCCUGGUGGAGGUCACUGAGGUAGUCAAACA
ensembl:lncRNA